ACCUGGGUGGCUCAGUUGGCUAAGCAUCUGACUUUGGCUCAGGUCAUGAUCUCACAGCUCGUGGGUUCAAGCCCCACGUCAGGCU
rnacentral:tRNA from 1 species